rnacentral:rRNA from 1 species
AAUUAAGUGAGCCGCGAAUAGCUCAUUACAAUAGCCGUUGUUUCUUGGAUCCUCAAUUUACUUGGAUACCUGUGGUAAUUCUAGAGCUAAUACAUGCGACUAAGGGCCGAACUCACGUGACGCUUGCAUUUAUUAGAUCAAGACUAACCGGCUUCGGCCGUUAACUUGGUGACUCUGAAUAACUCAGCUGAUCGCACGGUCUAGUGCCGGCGACAUAUCUUUCAAGUGUCUACCUUAUCAACUGUCGAUGGUAGUUUAUGUGACUACCAUGGUUGUAACGGGUAACGGAGAAUCAGGGUUUGACUCCGGAGAGGGAGCCUGAGAAACGGCUACCACUUCUAAGGAAGGCAGCAGGCGCGCAAAUUACACAAUCUCAGCACGAGGAUGUAGUGACGAAACAUACCGAGGCGAUGCCCUUUCGGGUGUCGUCAUUGGAAUGAGUCGAAUCUAAAAAAUUCGGCAAGGAUCUAGUGGAGGGCAAGUCUGGUGCCAGCAGCCGCGGUAAUUCCAGCUCCGCAAGUGUAUAUCUAUGCUGUUGCGGUUAAAAAGCUCGUAGUUUGAUUCGCGUACUUAGCACGCAGUGUGGCCUUUCGGCUACUACUGUGAUGCGGUACAUUAUCGUCAGUUUGUCGUUGAUGCUCUUCAUUGGGUGUCAGCGGCGGCUGUCAAGUUUACUUUGAACAAAUUAAAGUGCUCAAUACAGGCGUUUCGCUUGUAUAGUUCUGCAUGGAAUAAUAGAAUAGGACUUACGUUCUAUUGUGUUGGUUUUCAGAACGAAAGUAAUGAUUAAGAGGGACAGACGGGGUCAUUCGUACUGCCACGUUAGAGGUGAAAUUCUUGGAUCGUGGCAAGACGAACUACUGCGAAAGCAUUGACAAGAAUGUUCA